UCCGCGCUCUGCGGCCUACGUCAACAAGCGGAGAGACGUCGGAUGCCACGCGCGCGCGCUCGAGGCCGCGUGACGCCGACCUUGUCCUCUGAGCGCGGGUGCUCGGGCCUAUUGGGGCCGUUACUGUCACAGAAGUCGGGAAGAAAACCAACCUGGACUCCCGCAUAAGUUUCACUGGUGGAGCCAAACAAUGAACAAUCAUGAAAACAGCAAGAAGUAAUAUCCACCCACAAACGCAUGGGCUAAUUGGAAGAAGGAAAAAAAAAACAGCUUCGUUCCUCUCAUUAAGCAAUGCAUUUUCAAUAAACGCUUGUUUUUC